rnacentral:lncRNA from 1 species
CUUCGUCUGCUCUCUUUUUCCUUUCUGCUUCAUCUUUCAAUGACUUCUUUUUAGCCUUAUUAAUAGCACACUAUUCUUAUUCCUCCAGUGAUAUUGCUUCUCUCUUCCUCCUCCUUUCUUUUUUCUUUGCAGUUUUUUUAUCCAUUUGCUAUUUCCCUUUGUCCUUCAUGGGUUUUACCAUCAGAUCCAUAAUACCUUCAUCAUCCUUGCUUACCACUAAAAUUGGGUCAACACAGGCUGUUGUAACUGCUUCCCCUUUAACUCUGCUAUAUCAGCCUUUGCUUGCUCGAAUUCUGCCAUGAGCUUGGCAAGACUAAGGAGAGACAAUGAAUCUAGCCUUUUGUUGAUGCGGGCUUUCAUGUUAUCCAUCCUAACUUGGAUAGUUUGAAACGGCCUGACUGCUUAAUCCAUAAUUUCGUCAACAAAUGGCUUGAAGUCUUCUGCCCACUUUUCUAGCUGCCUCUGAAAUCUCUUUUGAGUCUCACCACUUUAGCAGAGUUUGCUGGAUUGAACCUGUACUCAGUAAAAUCUGCUCCGCCCAUAGACUGUGCAAAACCUGACCCUACAGAUAUACCUUGGGGCACAUAAUCAGGUGUUACAUAUGUGGGGAUGGGUAAAGGCAUACCUUCGGGCAUUUCUG